rnacentral:ribozyme from 13 species
UUUCUUUUUUCUCUUUCUUUUCUCUUUUCUCUCUCUCUUCUCUCAAUAUCAUAAAAAAAAAAGAUGGAAGAACAAAAAGAAUCUCCAAACAAAGAAAUUAAGAAACUUUUUCGUGCAGUCGGGAGAGGGGAUGAAGAAGUUGUCAAAGUUCUUUUUCUUGAAAACAAAAACAAAAAACAAUUUGAGAUCAAUUUCAAAGACAAGAAUGGAUUCACCGCUCUUCACAAAGCUGCUUACCAUGGUUUUGAACAAAUUGUGA